rnacentral:lncRNA from 1 species
ACCUAUUGCUCUGUGGGGACAGGAAGAGAUCAUAACCACACGAGAGACAAAGAGGAUCACAUAAGGGUUUCAGAGCCUCAUGUAAUCAACACAAUGUCAUUGGCAAAUAAAGAGCACUCAGAAGACGUCAGUACCCAUGAUGCUCUGAUUUAUAAGGAAACUCUUCAACUUGGAUGGUCUGCUCUCUCAUCCUUGAUCCUGGCAAACACUUAGGCUGGAGCCCCUUUCUGCCCAGGAAAUGUGGAACUACUUAAUAGAAAAUGCCAGUGGCAAAACUUGCUAUUUCAGUUUUCCAAAGGACAGCAGCUGGCAGACUUCACCAAAUGGGUUUCCCUCCUCCCCAACUGCUCAACUAUCUUCUAUACUAUCGCCUAAGGUCAUACAGCAAACCAAAGGGAGAGGGCAACUCUAUUCGUAGCUCCCCUCCAGAUUUCCCCCCAAAUGGAAAAAGAAAAUCAUAGUCCUUAUGACAAAUAACCAGUCAGCAAAUCAAAUCUCCACAUUGAUCAUGUUCAAAAAUGUGUCUCCUCUGAACCUUGAAUCCAUCUUCUUUCUAACAGGAAGUGGCUAGCAUACUUCCUUAUCAGUGUUCUGAAGUGGAAGUUGGUCAUUGACCUGAUUAGAGUUCUCAAAAAAAAAUUAUGUUCUAAAGUCCAGGUAUCACUGACCUCAAAAUGCCAAAGCGUGCUCCUGCUUUCCCCAACAGUACAUUUAGAAAAUGUGAUACUAUAGGGAGUGAAGAAAUAGGGCAACGUAGCCUAUACUGGAUAACUGUUUUCCUCCAGGAUUUCACCAGACAGCAUUUGGAGCUUCCAUCAAUUCGCCCCUUCACUCCCUCCUACUCCUAAUCCAUCUAAGAAAGCCUGGAGUUGCUUCAGUAGCAAUGCUAAUUUCACUGUGCCUUCUCCUGGUGGUCCUAGAAUAUCUCUCAGGACAAACGCUCUAUGUCCCCUUGGCCACCCAGUGACACUUUCUUCUGCAGAAUCUAUUGUGUGCUCAGAAACUUGCCAUUAUAAUGCAGCGCCUGACCUGGAUUUCUAAUCACAGAGAGCUCCACUGCUAUUCCUGCAGCAGAGGAAGAACACAGUCCUUUCUGCUAUACUUUCUACAAGUCCCAGCCAUCCCCUGGAGCUGCAAAUGUCAUCCUUAACUGACAUUAAAAAAUCAGGUUCCUCUUCUUCCAUCUCAGACUUAAUUUGAAAUUGAAAAAGAUUUUAUAUACUUAGAAUACUUUGUAUGCACCAUAUGUAUUUAACAAAAAUCAAAGCCAGUCCUUGGAACACAUGCUACCACUACACAAGCUGCCGUUUGUUGGGGACACCAAAAUAAAAUAUUUCCACCCAAGUUCUGCUUCUACA